AUAGCGGCGGACGGGUGAGUAACACGUGGGUAACCUACCUAUAAGACUGGGAUAACUUCGGGAAACCGGAGCUAAUACCGGAUAACAUUUAGAACCGCAUGGUUCUAAAGUGAAAGAUGGUUUUGCUAUCACUUAUAGAUGGACCCGCGCCGUAUUAGCUAGUUGGUAAGGUAACGGCUUACCAAGGCGACGAUACGUAGCCGACCUGAGAGGGUGAUCGGCCACACUGGAACUGAGACACGGUCCAGACUCCUACGGGAGGCAGCAGUAGGGAAUCUUCCGCAAUGGGCGAAAGCCUGACGGAGCAACGCCGCGUGAGUGAUGAAGGGUUUCGGCUCGUAAAACUCUGUUAUUAGGGAAGAACAAAUGUGUAAGUAACUGUGCACAUCUUGACGGUACCUAAUCAGAAAGCCACGGCUAACUACGUGCCAGCAGCCGCGGUAAUACGUAGGUGGCAAGCGUUAUCCGGAAUUAUUGGGCGUAAAGCGCGCGUAGGCGGUUUCUUAAGUCUGAUGUGAAAGCCCACGGCUCAACCGUGGAGGGUCAUUGGAAACUGGGAAACUUGAGUGCAGAAGAGGAAAGUGGAAUUCCAUGUGUAG
rnacentral:rRNA from 1 species